UACGUAGGGUGCGAGCGUUAAUCGGAAUUACUGGGCGUAAAGGGUGCGCAGGCGGCUUCGCAAGUCAGGCGUGAAAUCCCCGAGCUUAACUUGGGAAUUGCGUUUGAAACUACGAGGCUGGAGUGUGGCAGAGGGAGGUGGAAUUCCACGUGUAGCGGUGAAAUGCGUAGAUAUGCGGAGGAACACCGAUGGCGAAGGCAAUCCCCUGGACCUGUACUGACGCUCAUGCACGAAAGCGUGGGGAGCAAACAGG
rnacentral:rRNA from 1 species